rnacentral:rRNA from 1 species
CCUACGGGAGGCAGCAGUGAGGAAUAUUGGUCAAUGGACGAGAGUCUGAACCAGCCAAGUAGCGUGAAGGAUGACUGCCCUAUGGGUUGUAAACUUCUUUUAUAUGGGAAUAAAACGUUCCACGUGUGGGAUUUUGUAUGUACCAUAUGAAUAAGGAUCGGCUAACUCCGUGCCAGCAGCCGCGGUAAUACGGAGGAUCCGAGCGUUAUCCGGAUUUAUUGGGUUUAAAGGGAGCGUAGGUGGAUUGUUAAGUCAGUUGUGAAAGUUUGCGGCUCAACCGUAAAAUUGCAGUUGAAACUGGCAGUCUUGAGUACAGUAGAGGUGGGCGGAAUUCGUGGGGUAGCGGUGAAAUGCUUAGAUAGCACGAAGAACUCCGAUUGCGAAGGCAGUUCACUGGACUGCAACUGACACUGAGGCUCGAAAGUGUGGGUAUCAAACAGGAUUAGAUACCCCAGUAGUC